rnacentral:rRNA from 1 species
GUGCCAGCAGCCGCGGUAAUACGGAGGGGGUUAGCGUUGUUCGGAAUUACUGGGCGUAAAGCGUACGUAGGCGGAUCAGAAAGUUGGGGGUGAAAUCCCGGGGCUCAACCCUGGAACUGCCUCUAAAACUCCUGGUCUUGAGUUCGAGAGAGGUGAGUGGAAUUCCAAGUGUAGAGGUGAAAUUCGUAGAUAUUUGGAGGAACACCAGUGGCGAAGGCGGCUCACUGGCUCGAUACUGACGCUGAGGUACGAAAGUGUGGGGAGCAAACAGGAUUAGAUACCCUGGUAGUCCACACCGUAAACGAUGAAUGCCAGUCGUCGGGCAGUAUACUGUUCGGUGACACACCUAACGGAUUAAGCAUUCCGCCUGGGGAGUACGGUCGCAAGAUUAAAACUCAAAGGAAUUGACGG